rnacentral:rRNA from 1 species
AGAGUUUGAUCAUGGCUCAGAACGAACGCUGGCGGCAGGCCUAACACAUGCAAGUCGAGCGCGCCUUUCGGGGUGAGCGGCGGACGGGUUAGUAACGCGUGGGAAUAUACCCUUUGGUACGGAAUAGCCUCUGGAAACGGAGAGUAAUACCGUAUGAGCCCUUCGGGGGAAAGAUUUAUCGCCAAAGGAUUAGCCCGCGUUAGAUUAGGUAGUUGGUGGGGUAAUGGCCUACCAAGCCUACGAUCUAUAGCUGGUUUUAGAGGAUGAUCAGCAACACUGGGACUGAGACACGGCCCAGACUCCUACGGGAGGCAGCAGUGGGGAAUCUUGGACAAUGGGGGCAACCCUGAUCCAGCCAUGCCGCGUGAGUGAUGAAGGCCUUAGGGUCGUAAAGCUCUUUCGCCUGUGAAGAUAAUGACGUAGCAGGUAAAGAAACCCCGGCUAACUCCGUGCCAGCAGCCGCGGUAAUACGGAGGGGGUUAGCGUUGUUCGGAAUUACUGGGCGUAAAGCGCACGUAGGCGGACUGGAAAGUUGGGGGUGAAAUCCCGGGGCUCAACCCCGGAACUGCCUCCAAAACUAUCAGUCUAGAGUUCGAGAGAGGUGAGUGGAAUUCCAAGUGUAGAGGU